CCGUAAUAUAGCAAAGAUCACGAAAAGGCCCGAAAAAGUACAUUAAGGUCAAAAGUUGGAGUAGAAAAAAACACAAUAGAAGAAUUCCAUUUUCCUUCCUCAUUCAUCGGAGAGCUCUCUUUGGGCUUUCCGAAAAGGUAUCACAUGCCAAGUUUGGCCUCACGGUCUAAAAGUUCUAGAGUCAUACAUUUUUGAC